AGGAACACCAGCCAUUCCGGUUCCCUCAACAUUCACAAGGGCUACAUUGUCAAUUGUUGCAAAUCCUUUGACAAGGGAUUCCAAUUUUUGUCCAUCUUCGUAUUCAUUUCCAGAAGAUCGGCAGAUCAUUGUUCCAGGUGCAGAAAGGUUGAAAAUAUUUUUUAUAACUAUUGGAAUGUCAUAUUGCAUCACUGGAACAAUUGUUCGAGGAUGUAAGACAUUGGCACCGAAAUACGACAUUUCCCACGCCUCUUGAUACGACAAUGUCUUCAGAAUAACGGCCUCACUAACUUU
rnacentral:misc_RNA from 1 species